UGUGAGAAAGUCACUAUGCCAAGCCUCAGCUGAAGGGCCUGGAUUCCACGUGGAAUGACCCACAUUGUGUCCGCUAUGGUCCAGUCAGACUCUGGCUAAUUUCCUGCCUCUCGAUGUCCUGGGAACCCGUGCUGUUUGCUCCCGUCUGGAGCCUCUGUGGCUGGGGCUGAGCCCUGGUUGCUCUGGCCAGGGUUUCCAUAGCCGCCUCCAGGCUCCAGACUCUGGGACCAGGCUGCUGCAGACUGUGAAUGAGGCCUCUCCUCUGCCCUCUGUGCCCCCCAUCUGAGCUCCUCUGUCCUGCUCUUUCGUGUGUCUCCUGUGGAGGGUCAAAUUAUUUGCCCACUGACAGUGACCUAAAUUUGGCAGCAGCGUUGCUAACAACUGGGAGCUAGGUCGCCACACUUGAUGGGGACAAUUCCAAGGGUGUUCGACAGCCCGAGGAUAUAAGGAUAAAAAUUACAGCAGCCUCCAGCAGUGACUGUAAGAGGAGUCUUGGCAGAGGAGGAAUUGCAAGAUAAGAAGAAAAUCAAGGAGCUCUUGCUAUGAAAACCUGACUCAACUCAGCGGAAGCCCUCAAAAGUCCCUUCAAAUGAGGUCGCAGGCUCCCUGGAGAAAGGACUACUUCUGUGACUGCAUCUUAGGAAGACACUCUCAGUCCUAACAGUUCUCAAGUGGCGUUUUAGCAACAAUUUCAAAAAUUCAUUUUCACUUCAGUAAAAUGAAAGUCAUAGGCACGAGUGCCCGUGAAGAGCAGAUCAGCUUCCUAGCCAAGACCGGUGACCAGUGUCCUGAGUGGGUACCCCAAAUGCCUCAAGAUGCGUGUGGACUUCUUUUCAGUGCAGGAAGUACGAAGGCUAGUCCGCCCUGAGCUGAGAGGUCCCAAAGUGUCUAGGGGAAUGCUGCAUCUUGCCCCCUUGCUGCUAACCAUGGGACCAUCCUACAGAUGGCUACCUCAAUCCAGGAAACCAUCUUCUACAAGCUUGAGAGGCUGUCUUCCCACAUAGAAGCCUUAAGACCGGUGGAGGCUGGAGAUACCUCGGGCUCAACAAAGAAUUCCAGGAUCUUCAUUUCCAGUCACGGGAGACCAGGUUGAUGCAGAGGAACCCCCUCAGAGUUUAUGGACAUCAGUCUACAAGGGUCUUGAGUUUCUCCACUAGAAGCUGCUUCCUGGAUAUUUAACUGUGUGUCUGAGUGUGUCAAUGGGUGCACAUGCUCAUGUUCAACAUGUGUGUAGAUUGCUUAUGUGUUAUCUGUUUUUAAAGUACAUCAAGACAACAAUAUUAAUCAAGAUAGAAAACAGAAUUGGCAGCCAACCCUCAUCUCACUGACACAGCGUAUUCUUGUGUUCAGUCAAUGGCGUACACGUGCACCAGGGUGGUCCCUAAAGACAGCAUUGCCCAGUGACACUGCAGCGUCAACACAUAGUGCCAAUGGCAUUGCCCAAUGGGGGUGCAGUGCUCCGAAAUACUUUCAGGCUCUAUGAUCAACUAUAAUCAACCAUGAUCAGCUUUGGAAUAAAUA